rnacentral:rRNA from 1 species
GAUGAACGCUGGCGGCGUGCUUAUCACAUGCAAGUCGAGCGAGUGAGUUCUUCGGAACAAUCUAGCGGCGGACGGGUGAGUAACACGUGGGCAACCUGCCUCAUAGAGGGGAAUAGCCUCCCGAAAGGGAGAUUAAUACCGCAUAAAAUUAUCGAGUGGCAUCACAUGAUAAUCAAAGGAGUAAUCCGCUAUGAGAUGGGCCCGCGGCGCAUUAGCUAGUUGGUGAGGUAACGGCUCACCAAGGCGACGAUGCGUAGCCGACCUGAGAGGGUGAUCGGCCACAUUGGGACUGAGACACGGCCCAGACUCCUACGGGAGGCAGCAGUGGGGGAUAUUGCACAAUGGGGGAAACCCUGAUGCAGCAACGCCGCGUGAGUGAUGAAGGUCUUCGGAUUGUAAAGCUCUGUCUUUGGGGACGAUAAUGACGGUACCCAAGGAGGAAGCCACGGCUAACUACGUACCAGCAGCCGCAGUAA